AUUGAACGCUGGCGGAAUGCUUUACACAUGCAAGUCGAACGGUAGAGGGGGCAACCCCUCGAGAGUGGCGAACGGGUGAGUAAUAUAUCGGAACGUGCCCAGUCGUGGGGGAUAACGUAGCGAAAGUUACGCUAAUACCGCAUACGAUCUAAGGAUGAAAGCGGGGGAUCGCAAGACCUCGCGCGAUUGGAGCGGCCGAUAUCAGAUUAGGUAGUUGGUGGGGUAAAGGCCCACCAAGGCGACGAUCCGUAGCUGGUCUGAGAGGACGAUCAGCCACACUGGGACUGCGACACGGCCCAGACUCCUACGGGAGGCAGCAGUGGGGAAUCUUGCGCAAUGGGCGAAAGCCUGACGCAGCGACGCCGCGUGCGGGAAGAAGGCCUUCGGGUUGUAAACCGCUUUCAGGAGGGACGAAGCCACUCGGGUUAAUAGCCCAGAGGGUGACGGUACCUCCAGAAGAAGCCCCGGCUAACUACGUGCCAGCCGCCGCGGUAA
rnacentral:rRNA from 1 species